rnacentral:rRNA from 1 species
GACGUAGGGGGCCAGCGUUGUUCGGAUUCAUUGGGCGUAAAGGGUGCGUAGGCGGCGCGGUAAGUCGGAUGUGAAAUCUCGGAGCUUAACUCCGAAACUGCAUUCGAUACUGCCGUGCUUGAGGACUGGAGAGGAGACUGGAAUUUACGGUGUAGCGGUGAAAUGCGUAGAUAUCGUAAGGAAGACCAGUGGCGAAGGCGGGUCUCUGGACAGUUCCUGACGCUGAGGCACGAAGGCCAGGGGAGCAAACGGG